rnacentral:rRNA from 1 species
GACGUAGGGGGCCAGCGUUGCUCGGAAUUACUGGGCGUAAAGGGUUCGUAGGCGGUGUGGCAAGUCGGGAGUGAAAUCUCUGGGCUCAACCCAGAGUCUGCUUCCGAAACUGCUGUGCUUGAGUGUGGGAGAGGCGAGUGGAAUUGCAGGUGUAGCGGUGAAAUGCGUAGAUAUCUGCAGGAACACCCGUGGCGAAAGCGGCGCGCUGGACCACUACUGACGCUGAGGAACGAAAGCUAGGGGAGCAAACAGG